UACAUUUUUCUCUCGUGAAGGAGGGGGUCGCUCAUGUUCAUUUCCACCAGUCCAGUCGUUUUCCUCUCUGCCAGGCAGUGCUCCAGCCUCCAGGCGGCGGCGAGUUUGAGAGUGAGAAGGGAGGAGAGAGGCCCCAACGAAGAUGGUGUGCCCACUCUACCAUUGAUAUUGCGAGAAUGACGACCAGCAGAGCUUUGGCAUAUUCAUCCGCGGCGGCUCUGAAGAUUUAGCGAACAUCCCAUGCAACUCGAGGGGUUUGACUUGGUGUUAGUAGCGCAUCCCAUGCAACGACCCCGGGUUCGACUCGAGGACGCGGGGGGCGGGGGGAGGGCCAACAUGCUGACCAGCCGGAGGAAUCAGUGUGCUAGUCCCAACAGCCGGAUGAAUGCUGUUGUUGCAAACUCAUGAACCUGAGGGGGAAAUGAGUAAGGGGGAUACAUCGGCAGCAAACGUGCUCCACUGUUCAAACAUUGCUACUGGAUAUUGACUGCAUAGGCUGCAAUCAAAAUAGAACAAUAAGUUUUCUGUUUUUUGUUCCAUGUAAAUUAUUGAGCAAUGUUUUCUCUUUGAUUUUCCAUAAAUCUUGCCUGAGUCCCAAUGUAGUCCCCUGUAUAGUUAUCUUCAUGACCUAUAGUCAAGAGUUCCAAAAUGAAUAAUUAUGAUGUUCACAAUCUUUUCUUUUGUCUAUGCUACAAAUUUUGAAUAUCAUGCUUCAUAGAAAUGUUCUCACUCA